rnacentral:rRNA from 1 species
UGGGGAAUAUUGCACAAUGGGGGAAACCCUGAUGCAGCGACGCCGCGUGAGCGAAGAAGGUUUUCGAAUCGUAAAGCUCUGUCCUAUGAGAAGAUAAUGACGGUAUCAUAGGAGGAAGCCCCGGCUAAAUACGUGCCAGCAGCCGCGGUAAUACGUAUGGGGCGAGCGUUGUCCGGAAUUAUUGGGCGUAAAGGGUACGUAGGCGGUCUAUUAAGUCAGGUGUGAAAGCGUGAGGCUUAACCUCAUUAAGCACUUGAAACUGAUAGACUUGAGUGAAGGAGAGGAAAGUGGAAUUCCUAGAGUAGCGGUGAAAUGCGUAGAUAUUAGGAGGAAUACCGGUGGCGAAGGCGACUUUCUGGACUUUUACUGACGCUCAGGUACGAAAGCGUGGGGAGCAAACAGG